rnacentral:rRNA from 1 species
UACGUAGGGAGCAAGCGUUGUCCGGAAUCACUGGGCGUAAAGAGCACGUAGGCGGCUAUUUAAGUCAGAUGUGAAAACCAAGGGCUCAACCCGUGGAUUGCAUUUGAAACUGGAAAGCUUGAGGACAGGAGAGGUAAGUGGAAUUCCUAGUGUAGCGGUGAAAUGCGUAGAUAUUAGGAGGAACACCAGUGGCGAAGGCGACUUACUGGCCUGUAACUGACGCUGAGGUGCGAAAGCGUGGGGAGCAAACGGG